rnacentral:rRNA from 1 species
AGAAUCAACGCUGGCGGCGUGCCUAACACAUGCAAGUCGCACGAGAAAGUGGAGCAAUCCACAAGUAAAGUGGCGCACGGGUGAGUAACACGUGACUAACCUACCCUUGAGUGGGGGAUAACCUAGAGAAAUCUGGGCUAAUACCGCAUAAUACCUUCGGGUCAAAGGAGCAAUUCGCUUAAGGAGGGGGUCGCGGCCGAUUAGUUAGUUGGCGGGGUAAUGGCCCACCAAGACUAUGAUCGGUA